AACGAACGCUGGCGGCAUGCCUAACACAUGCAAGUCGAACGAUGCUUUCGGGCAUAGUGGCGCACGGGUGCGUCACGCGUGGGAAUCUGCCCUUGUGUUCGGCCUAACAGUGAGAAAUUGCUGCUAAUACCGGACGAUGUCUUCUGACCAAAGAUUUAUCGCCCAGGGAUGAGCAGUCGUAGGAUUAGCUAGUUGGUGGGGUAAUGGCCUACCAAGGCGUGGAUCGUUAGCUGGUCUGAGAGAAUGAGCAGCCACACUGGGACUAAGACACGGCCCAGACUCCUACGGGAGGGAGCAGUGGCGAAUAGUGCAAAAUGGGGUCAGGCCUGAACCAGUAAGGCCGCUAGAGUGAUGAAGGCAUUAGGGAAGUAAAGCUCAUGUAACCGGGAUGAUAAUGACAGUACCGGGAGAAUAAGCUCCGGCUAACUCCGUG
rnacentral:rRNA from 1 species